AAUUAAUCUCAUUUUAUCAUUACAACUUUUCUAAAUUUAUCUGUUAGAGGCUUGGCCAUUGGGUUGGGAAUUACCGGGUUCUUGCUACUUGUGCUUAGUGGCUUAUGGGUUUAUAGAGAGUAUGGGUUGAAGAACAACAAAGGAGAGUGGGCGAGAUUUGGAGAAGCAGAGGCAGCUUUUGGGUAAGGAAGGGAAGGGGUUGAUGGGAAUGGAGAACUUGAUGGCAGAUGUUUCAGAUUGCUUGGACAAGUACAAAGUGUUUAAGAUUGAAGAUUUGAUAGAAGCCACUAAUGGAUUUAGCGAGAGUUGCUUGAUUCAGGGGUCUGUGUACAAGGGGAGCAUUGAUGGGGAAGUCUAUUUCAUCAAGACGAUGAAGUCGAAUGCCUAUGAUUAGCUCAAGAUCUUACAGAAGAUUUUGGUGCAAAGAUCGAAGAGGAGAAGGAGGCUGAACCCGAGGAUGCAGCUCCACCGGAGUAUUGAGUGGAAGUUAUGUCUUGCUGUUGGCUUUGAUUAAGAUUUGUAGUUUGUAAUAUUUUAAUAUAUAUGUUUUGAAUAGCUUUGUAUUAAAUUAAAAAAAGUUCUGGUACUUAGUUGUGACAUUCGUUAUCUGCUGCGUGUUUCUUCGUCCA